GUGAAUCAUCGAAUCUUUGAACGCAUCUUGCGCUCCUUGGCAUUCCGAGGAGCAUGCCUGUUUGAGUGUCGUGAUACUGUCAAUUUCACUCUUUUUGUUUGAAAUUGGACUUGAAUGCUGUCGUGGAGUGCCUUACGACUCAUUCUAAAUGCAUUAGCGAUCUGCCUUUGAUCACACAAUGUGAUAAUCCAAAAGCAUUGUUUGUAUUCAAGUGGAGAUGGCUUCUAACUGUCGAAAGACAAAGUGAAUGUCAUUUGACCUCAAAUCAGGUAGGACUACCCGCUGAACUUAAGCAUAUCA
rnacentral:misc_RNA from 1 species